GUCUCAGGCCGUAUCAGCCUGAAGGCGCCCGAUCUCGUCUGAUCUCGGAAGCUAAGCAGGGUCGGGCCUGGUUAGUAUCUUGGAUGGGAGACCACCUGGGAAUCCCGGGUGCUCGAGGCU
ensembl:rRNA 5S_rRNA 5S ribosomal RNA